UCCCCCUGCAGGCCAUUGGGAUACUGUAGCAUUGUAGACCCCAACACAGAAUGACAUGCCUCACGUGACUCAAACUACAAGGAGCUGAGGGUUAAUUGGGAGCUAAAGACUUCACAAGACUUCCUCAAAUCCAUUCUAUGGAGGUCAAAGGUCGCCUGAUCACUGCCAUGGGCUUAGGGGCUCCAGAUGUCCAGGGCUGUCAGGACAGCAAGCUGCAAGCAGAACGAAUCUCAGAGCUGCAGGAGCGAAAGCAGAGUCUGCAGAGCCUUUUGAACAGUCGUCUCGGAGAGCUGCGACACGUGUGUCUUCUGG